ACUAAAGGACAUGAAUUUUCAUAUUAAAAGGCUCAACAAGUAUCUGGCCUGUAUCAUAAAAUUUUAGAAUAAUGAGCAUAAAGAGGAGAUCCUACAAGCUUUUAUAGAGGAAAAAGAGGACAGGGGAAGACACCAAAUUCAAAACAUUAGGAAUUAGAGUGAUUUUAGACUUUUUGAAAGUAAUUUUGGAAGCUAGAAGGCAAUGGAGCAAUGCCUUCAAUAUACUGAAAGAAAAUUAUCUCUAACCUAGAAUUCUCUAUCUGGAUACUCAAGUGCAAGGGCAAGUUAAAGACUUCUCAGGCAAGAAAAUCUUCAAAAUAACAGGGAGCUACUGGAGAAUAUGGCCCUCCAAAGCUAGAGAGUACACCGGAAUAAAGGAAGACACAGGUGCAGGCAGUGUGAGCUCUAAGAGGAGGGAGAAGCAGAAGAGGCCACCACAGUGACUGUGGAGGAAGAUCUCAGGAUGGAGGGAGGCACAUCAAGCACGAGGACAAGCACAGACUGGAGCAGGACAAGAGGCUCCAGGAGAGACUUUCUCAGGCAAACAAAAUUUUAGAAUACCUGAUGAAGGUCAAAAAUCAAACACAACAAAGCAAGCCAUUGUUGAGCCGACAGGAAACAAAAAUUUCUACAGGAAAGAAAAAGGAGAACAAGUUUUUGCAUCCCCAGCUCUCGACAAUCUCCACAGAAGAUUGCUACCCUUUUAUUCGUCUGCAGCAAUGAAGGACAUAGAGGAACUUCAGUGUGGAUAACGUGGUAGAGUUUCCAACUGGGUGAACAUAGGGAGGGAUUUCAGAGUGGCCGCGGGAACCCUAGGGAACCGGAGUGUGGAACCAACAGGAAGUGGGCAGCGGCUCGCAGGCAGGCACAACACAGGAAAGAUAACAGAUGCAAAGCAAAAGAAAGAAAAUGCAAGCCCUAUAAGAACAUCCAGUGGCCUCCUGCUUCAUCUGUGUCUUCCUAAAGGGAUCCUCACUGGUGGAGUGUCAAAGACCUUGAGUUCUGAGUGUUGUAAAAAGGCAAUGAGGGAUGUAUUUUAAGCUGGAAGCGUGAUAAGGAAAGACGGAAUAAGUCCUCACAA